rnacentral:tRNA from 1 species
GCCCCGUUAGGUUACUUGCACGGGGUCGGUGGAAGGCUGGUUAAACCAUUUGGUUUACGACCACUACGACCCGGGUUCGAUCCCCGCAUUGGACA